GACAAGAAAGAGCGAGAGGAAGAACAGAAGCAAAUUGCACAUCUUACAAGUUUGGUGACAGAGUUCUCAAAGGAAAAGACUCAAACACACAAGUCAUUUAUCCAUCAUGAUGGGGCCAUGUAUUCAACUGGUGGCACAAAUACUCGUUGAUACAUGGUGGAGUUAUGAGCAUGUGAAAUCUAGUUUCUGGUACAUGGAUAGCUUUUGUUCAGAUGAUCAUGGUGGAGUUGCUUACAAGCAGAAUCCAUUUUUUGGUUUAUUCAUAUUUUUGUCUACAUGAUGGUUGUUUGGAUGAAUAGCAAGAUCAGAUAUUUUGAGAUUUUUAAUUUACAUUUUGAUGUGUUUGGUGAUGAUUAUCACCUUAACAUAUGGUAUGGAUGAAACAUUUUGAUGAAUGGUUAAUAGGUUUGCUUGACUUUAGACUUA